ACCGUACUCCUACGGGAGGCAGCAGUGGGGAAUUUUGGACAAUGGGGGCAACCCUGAUCCAGCAAUGCCGCGUGAGUGAAGAAGGCCUUCGGGUUGUAAAGCUCUUUUGUCAGGGAAGAUACGGUAGUAGCUAAUAUCUAUUACUAAUGACGGUACCUGAAGAAUAAGCACCGGCUAACUACGUACCAGCAGCCGCGGUAAUACGUAGGGUGCAAGCGUUAAUCGAAAUUACUGGGCGUAAAGCGUGCGCAGGCGGUUGUGUAAGUCAGAUGUGAAAUCCCCGGGCUCAACCUGGGAAUUGCAUUUGAGACUGCACGGCUAGAGUGUGUCAGAGGGGGGUAGAAUUCCACGUGUAGCAGUGAAAUGCGUAGAUAUGUGGAGGAAUACCGAUGGCGAAGGCAGCCCCCUGGGAUAACACUGACGCUCAUGCACGAAAGCGUGGGGAGCAAACAGGAUUAGAUACCCGAGUAGUCCUUGAC
rnacentral:rRNA from 1 species